rnacentral:rRNA from 1 species
UACGUAGGGUGCAAGCGUUGUCCGGAAUUAUUGGCGUAAAGAGCUCGUAGGCGGUUUGUCGCGUCUGCUGUGAAACCCGAGGCUCAACCUCGGCCUGCAGUGGGUACGGGCAGACUAGAGUGCGGUAGGGGAGACUGGAAUUCCUGGUGUAGCGGUGAAAUGCGCAGAUAUCAGGAGGAACACCGGUGGCGAAGGCGGGUCUCUGGGC